rnacentral:rRNA from 1 species
AUUGAACGCUGGCGGCAUGCCUUACACAUGCAAGUCGAACGGUAACAGGUCUUCGGAUGCUGACGAGUGGCGAACGGGUGAGUAAUACAUCGGAACGUGCCUAGUAGUGGGGGAUAACUACUCGAAAGAGUGGCUAAUACCGCAUGAGAUCUACGGAUGAAAGCAGGGGAUCGCAAGACCUUGUGCUACUAGAGCGGCCGAUGGCAGAUUAGGUAGUUGGUGGGAUAAAAGCUUACCAAGCCGACGAUCUGUAGCUGGUCUGAGAGGACGAUCAGCCCCACUGGGACUGAGACACGGCCCAGACUCCUACGGGAGGCAGCAGUGGGGAAUUUUGGACAAUGGGCGAAAGCCUGAUCCAGCAAUGCCGCGUGCAGGAUGAAGGCCUUCGGGUCGUAAACUGCUUUUGUACGGAACGAAAAGCCCCGGGUUAAUACCCUGGGGUCAUGACGGUACCGUAAGAAUAAGCACCGGCUAACUACGUGCCAGCCGCCGCCGCAG